rnacentral:rRNA from 1 species
GCUAAGCCUAAAUAUUCCCUGGUGACCGAUAGCGGAUAGUACCGUGAGGGAAUGGUGAAAAGUACCGCGGGAGCGGAGUGAAAUAGUACCUGAAACCGUGUGCCUACAAGCCGUGGGAGCGUCGGACGGAGAGCUUGCUCUUCGUCUCGUGACUGCGUGCCUUUUGAAGAAUGAGCCUGCGAGUUUGCGGUGUGUUGCGAGGUUAACCCGGGUGGGGUAGCCGUAGCGAAAGCGAGUCCGAACAGGGCGUUUCAGUAGCACGCUCAAGAC